CGGGACAGGGGGGAGGGGUCGCUCCCCCGGGGUCCGGUCACCUCUCGGGGGUCAUCCCGCCACCCGGCCCCCCGCACCUCUACCCUCUCUCUGUCCAUGGGGCCCCCAAGCAAACUUUCCCUGGAAGAGUUGGAAGGGCACUUUCAAACUUUGUCCCUUCCCCCUCCUCUGUCGUCUCUCCCCCAGCGCGCCCCCUGACCUCUGCAUCCAGAGUCUCUCCUGAGGUCAAUCCCCCAAUGCUGCCUGGGUCCCCUGAGGGAACGAGGAGGGGUCUCUUGAGUCGCCUCCUCUCCUCAAAGACCCCCGCGUCUCCCAUGUAUCCUAACCGGGAAUUCAUUUCUAUACCUCCCUCAGCCUAGGAGUGUUGGGGUGUCAGAGGCAGAGCUCGCUGCCCCCACCCCUGAGGCCCAUCCUGGGGGUCCAGUCCGCCUCCCAAAGCCCCUUGAAAGCAGUUGGGGGUGGGGGGAGGCAGAGCGGGCAGUGGUCCACAAUGGAGGAGCUGCCCUAGAUGCUAAAACAAGAGACUGUCCUGGGGGCCCCUGGGAUGAGGAGAGGCCCUGAGUGCUUUGGGAACUUGGGAAAACCGGGCUCUAGGGGAGCGGUCGGGGAGGGGGUAGUGUUCCUCGGGUCCUGACUAAUCCUCGAAAGUGUGCAGUUGUUCAGGGAGCCGUGGCCGGGACCACCGCCAUUUUGCUGGGAGGAUGCGAUGUCUUUGUUAAAACGUACACAUCUUCUCCUGUGCUGCCUGGCAGACAGGAGCUCUAGAGAGGCUAAGAGCCUUGUCCAAGAUGGGUCAACCUGAAGGAGGGUGACAGGCCGACAGACUCCCAAGCCAGUGACUUUCCCACUGCACCUCCUGUGGUCUCCAGAGACCUUGCAAGACACGCACUCAUUCUGGACUUCGGAAUGCUAAGAUGUUCGCUUGAUGUGUGUGUUGCACUGAGGUUAACGUAAGAAACAUCACCAGUGCCACGGGAGCCCCCUUUGUGCCCUGAUCACAUCUCCGUGACCUCUGACCUGAAAUUUUUCUUGCUUUCCAGGCAAUGUUGCUGUGACUUUUCUACUGCAAGUGCGCUGGCGCAAACAGGAAGGAGUUGCGUUAUGCACAGCUUCAGCUUUACCAGGUCGUGCCGGCUGCUCUCUACAAGCUGCCAUCUUGGUGAUGAUUAGGGAAAGGCACAAUGAAGGUGGCGAGACCACUGGAGGCCCUCCCCGCUCUGCAGGAAAACAAUCGCAAACCCACGUGGAUCGAGAGUCAAAGGAUGGACAGAGAGACAAACUCACACUGCAGGACAGAGGCCUGAGCAUGCAGGUGACAGCUUCACAGUUAAACUUUAACUGAGUUCACUGAACUAAGCUUUAGCCAAUUUCCCAGGAUUUGAAGCAACAGAACACAUCACCAAGGCAAAGACCGAGGGUUUUGACCCCACAGAGAUAGUCUAACCUCCCGCGUGGACAGCAUCUUGGGAAGGCUCCGUGCCGCUCACACGGGAGAGGAGCCACACGUGUAGACAGGGGCAAUGUCUACGAUACGUUCACUGAGAAAAGCAAGCUAAGAACAAUGUGUGUGUGGGACCCUCAUUUUAACAAAAUAGGGAAAUUAGAGCGCUCUGUACAGGUGCGCAAUAAUAGUUCACGUUUACUGAGCAGUUACUGUAGGCCCGCACUGGGCCAAGUGCUCUCUUGAUGGGUACUGACGCCCUGGAUCUUUCGCUGUCAUUGUCACUUCCUUGGACAGAUGGGCGAGGAACUUGCCAAAAGGGAUCUGACUGUAUCUCUUAACCAGCUCUCAAAGCUGUCCCUCCCGUACGCAGGGGACCAGGUGGGUAAAUCUGUGGCUGGUCUCAGGAGCCCCAGGAGGAAUGAGCUCCGGGCGCCAAGCCCUUCCUCAUGCGGGUCAGUGGGAUUGGCGGCCACCUGACCCACUGGGGCAGUCCUGACCAAGGUCGGCUGGCAAAGAGGAUGCCUGUGCCUCAAAAGAGGGUACUCACUCAAUGGAAAAAGGGAAGUGGACAGGUGACCCAAGCUCAGAGCCAGAGGCCAGGCAUUGGGAUGGGGGCAGACGCCACGUGGGGCUUGCUGCUGGUCCCACCCCUCUGGCAUCAUUUCCGCUUCAGGGAGCAAGGACUGAGCUCGUAGUAUGAACGAGAGGGCUAUACCCUCGGGGUCCACGGGCAGGCAGGGCAGGGCCUUGUGGUGGUGAGACUGGCCUCCUUUGGAUGGAGUGGAUCCCUUAGGACUCUCAGACUAUUCUGGAAGACACCUCAAGAGGGAGACGCUGGGCUUCUUACCAAUAAAUGCGUGAGGGUGCAUGAGAGAUUGGUGAAAAAUCAGCCACAUGGCACUGUGACCUGGGUCAUUCUCCAGGCUGGGCCAAUGGGCCGUGGGUGUGUGCCUGCGUGCCUGCCACCUUAGUGGCAACAGUUUUCUCUGAGAAGUGGAAUUGGGUCAUGGGGCGCUUUUAGUUUUUACUUUAUACACAUCUAUAUUGUUUUAGUUUGAUGAACAAUAAGCAGGUAUUACUUUUGUAAUAAAGAAAGAACCUUCAUAAUGUCAAAACCUACAUACGAUGAAAAGGCAAAAAUAUAUAUAGAAAAAACCCUUCAGAGUAAAUAUGACGAAUGGUAAGCAUCCUUAUGGUGUAGACUAGUGCUACAUGUUCUCAAGAGAAAAAUGGUAACGCCCCAAUGGGACAAAGUACGUGAACAGAUCGUUUAUAGACGAGUAAAUACCAGGAGCUGAUUUGAUCUCAUGAGUCAGCAAAACGUGCAGCUUUAAGCAACAGUGAUGUCAUAUUUGUCCCCUUUCACAUUAACCAAGAUUCUUAGAAAUGAUAACAGUGCUGGCGAGAGCGGAGGGGGAGGGGCGCUCCCUGACCCGACUCACCAGGGACGCCGUGCGUUCGAUCAGCGUGGUUAGAUAACAAUUUGCCACUAGGAAUCCAGAGCCGUGAAUUGUUCAGACUCAACCUGGACCCAAUCGUGCAAAAAGAACUGGAUAAACCCACACUGAGGGACGUUCUGCAAGAUGACAGGCCUGGGCCCUCCAAAAUCGUUGAAGUCACUGAAGACUACGGAAGGCAGGAGAUGUUCCAGACUGAAGGAGACGGAAGAGCCCUGCGACUGGACCCUGGAUUUAAAAAAGAUUCUAAAAGACGUUAUAGAAACAAUUGAGGAAAUUUGAAUGUGAAUUGUAUAUUAGAUGAUAUUGGGCCUGUGUUCCAGUCUUUUUUUUUAAAGAUUUUUUUUUUUUCCUUUUCCUCUCCAAUCCCCCCAGUACAUAGUUGUAUAUUUUAGUUGUGGGUCCUUCUGGUUGUGGCAUGUAGGAUGCUGCCUCAGUGUGACCUGAUGAGCAGUGCCAUGUCCACACCCAGGAUCCGAACCAGUGAAACCCUGGGCCGCCAAAGCAGAGCUCGCGAACUUAACCACCCGGCCACAGGGUCUGCCCCUGUGUUCCAGCCUUGAAUGUGCUCACUGGAUUGUGGUUGUGGAGGCUGGGUGUCCUUUUGCUUGAGAGACAUGUGCUGAAGGAUUGAGAGUGUCGUGAUGUCGGCAACUCAGAUCAGUCUGCAAAAUACAUGUGUUUAGACGUGAUGCAGCUGUAUGGAUCGACGAUCUGUGUAUGCGUAGACACAGGUGUCAAGAGAGAGCACAAGAGAGAAAUAAAAAGCGCAAAAUGGCAACAAUCUUGAACCUGGGCAAGGGAUGUGUGGGAAUUUAUUGUACUAUUCUUGCAACUCGUCUGUAGGUUUGAAAACCUAUCGACUAAGUUGGAGGGAAAGUGUUCG
ensembl:lncRNA